rnacentral:rRNA from 1 species
GGGAAAAAAACCCCUCUCGUGAGGGGGCUUGACGGUACCGUAUGAAUAAUGAUCGGCUAACUCCGUGCCAGCAGCCGCGGUAAUACGGAGGAUCCAAGCGUUAUCCGGAAUCAUUGGGUUUAAAGGGUCCGUAGGCGGGACAAUAAGUCAGUGGUGAAAGUCUGCAGCUCAACUGUAGAACUGCCAUUGAUACUGUUGUCCUUGAGUAAUUAUGAAGUGGUUAGAAUAUGUAGUGUAGCGGUGAAAUGCAUAGAUAUUACAUAGAAUACCGAUUGCGAAGGCAGAUCACUAAUAAUUUACUGACGCUGAUGGACGAAAGCGUAGGUAGCGAACAGGAUUAGAUACCCUGGUAG